rnacentral:rRNA from 1 species
AGAACGAACGCUGGCGGCAGGCCUAACACAUGCAAGUCGAACGCUCUCGCAAGAGAGAGUGGCGCACGGGUGCGUAACGCGUGGGAAUCUACCCUUGACUACGGAACAACGUCGGGAAACUGACGCUAAUACCGUAUAAUGACUCCGGUCCAAAGAUUUAUCGGUCAAGGAUGAGCCCGCGUUAGAUUAGCUAGUUGGUGAGGUAAUGGCUCACCAAGGCUACGAUCUAUAGCUGGUCUGAGAGGAUGAUCAGCCACACUGGGACUGAGACACGGCCCAGACUCCUACGGGAGGCAGCAGUGAGGAAUAUUGGACAAUGGGGGCAACCCUGAUCCAGCCAUGCCGCGUGAGUGAUGAAGCCUUCGGUUGUAAAACUCUUUUAGAUGUGACGAUGAUGACGGUAACAUCAGAAAAGCUCCGGCUAACUUCGUGCCAGCAGCCGC